AUGGACUUUCCCCCACAAGGGCACAUUUGUUAAAGGAAAAUGUUUGAAAUAUUUGGCCAGUUGACAGUGGAACAAAAGAGAGAGCAAAUUCUAAAGUUCUUAUGAAGCUGCAGUGACAGUGUCCAGUCUACAGACAUCAGCAAAACUAAUCAAGAGAGACAGGUUAAAAGGUCUCAUGCACCCAAAAAGACGUGCUAUCAUGCUACCAUGCCUCUCCAAGGGGAGCAGCUGUUGGUGUGUAGAGGAACGAGAGGAUGGCACUGCUGUGUCAGGCAGUACGUAGGACAUCUUCUUGUGAUGCAUCGCAGCUUGCAUUCAGUGGCUCUUCUCUGAGCCUUAACCAUAGAAUGUGAAGAUCUUCUGGGCAGUAGAUGUGACUGACAUUCAUGUGAAAUUAAUCCCCCUGUGCAGGAGGCUCAACACUCUCGGGAGCUGAUGCAGGAUCCACCUUGCACAGCCCUGCUCUCCAUCCCAUGGCCCCAGAUUAUGCUUUGGACUAGAGGCCAGGAUUUUCCCAUUGACAUGGACAAAUUGGUCUACUUUAUUGCAUUCUGGAGAUUUGAUCCUCCUCUGCAGUCUGCUGGGCAACUUCCAAAGGAUAGAAUUGGAUUCCUCACCAUAAAGUUUCUCCUUCCAAGAUGGAAAGGGCUUUUAUGGCAAAGUAUAAAAUCAAAAAACAAGCUGUCACUCGCAUUUGCUGCCCUGCUCUUUCUGUGCACUGUAAGAAGCACUCUCAGGGUUUUGAAGCCUGCUGUAUUAAGUGUGAGAUGGUGAAAAGGUCAUGACAGAAGGGCUGGUGAGAUUGAAAUCGAGUGCAGGAGCAUUCUGCAAGGAGGUGACUUGCCUGCUCCAAAUGCCCUGAGAAGUGAAGGCGAGAGCCUUAGCACAGCAUUGUGCUACCUGUGUCUUCUCCAUCCCUGCUACCUGCAUCCCUCCUUGCACAACCAGACCGUGGCUUUCAGGGUGACUGAUGUCCCCAUCAAGGAACAGUUUGUGACAAAGGAAUACAUCUUCCAUGAGGAGGAUGACCAGGAAUUGGACAACAUGAACUGAAGAAAACAUCUCCUGCCUCAGCAAUGGGCUCCCAAACCAAAACAGACAUUACUGCCUGGAAGUAAUUCGGAGGAACUCUACCAGCAAGUGUGAAAUGAAUGCAAAUGUGCAGCUUCUUUAGACUUAAUUGUAGAAGAGCAUCUGUUUACAUUUCAUUUCAGUACUACAGUGAACCCUCAUCUAUUGGGAAGUUUGCAGCCUGCAAAGAUAGCAUGUUGUUGAGUGGUUUUGAAAAGAAUAUACCAUCAUUCACCAGGUUCAUGCUGCUUGCCUCUAUUCAGCCACUCACCAGAGCCACCCUAUCGAAACUACAACUGUGGAUGUAAGCAUUUCUGAGAGCUGUAAUUGAACUCCCCAUCACAACCUUUACAGCAAUCAUUUUGAUUACUCUUAGCUUAGCAAUUAUGGCUGAGUGACACAUUUUCAGCUUUGGAAAACAAUAUGCCUAGCCCAGCUACCCUAUGCAUAAGUGUCUCAUAUACAUAUAUCCACAUAGAUAUACAUAUUUACCAGCUUUCACGUGCUAAAUGGUUUCUAAGCUCCUGCCUGCCAAGGAGCUGGUUGAUCCAUGAGCAGGAUUCCUGUUGGAUGGCUGCAUGAUGUGUGCCAACAGCUCCCUCUGGGUUUUUUGUCUGAGAUUUACUUCAGUUGCAGAAAAAUCAGGGAACGUCUUUGUUCCCAGAAGUACUCCUGGCAGCCGACCUUGGAUCACGACCCAUCAUCGCAGCCCAGUUGCACAGUCUCUAGACAGCAUCUCCUCGGGGCCAGCACAACCUGGGGUGAUGAGACAAGCUCUGUAAUGGAAACGAUUGUGCCUUUGUGUCUGGGCAGCCAGCAAGUGUCAUUCUUUGAAACACAGCGGCUAUUUCAGAAAGAGCAUCUCUAGCGGAGAUGCAGCAGUUUUCCAGGGCACCAUGGAGACAUCCAGUUGCAUAACCCUGACAGUCACUGGGAGACAGUCUGCUGGCAAGCAUUACUGAUCCCCCCCGCUCCUGCUCAGCAUGAAGUCCCAAUGACCUCAGCCCUUGGCCGCCUUGUCCACCUCCAACAAGGAAUGUUAGAGAGAACAUCUCAGGAGCCCCUCCCAUAAGCUAUGAACCAAAGCCCUUAAUUUUACAGCUACUAAAAUAUACCAAAGUUCAACACAAUAGCUUUUCAAGUUGACUAACUGGUACGUGGGAGCCAAAAAGCAGGAGCCAUGUAGAUUUAUCAUGUCGUUAAAGGGAACUGGGGUGAGUGUUAGGCAGAGGAUGGAGAUCGCGAACCCAGAGCUGAGGGCAACAGCUUUAUGAUGAGUUUCACCAUCUGAAAGCCUGGUGUUGUGCACUGCAGCAACCAGCGUUGAGCUCGUCAGAUCUCAGAUUUGCAGCAGGCUGCUUUGCUUCUUUGUUCAUCAAAACAGGGAAGAAAUAGUGGAGCACUUUGGAAAAAUCCUGGAGAAUCUGGUAGAGAUGGAAUUGAGGGUGCUUAGGAACUUGCAGAGUCCAGGGCAGAAAUUACUGUAAAUACUUGUUGAAUUUAGUAAGUGUUUUUAUGCUUCCUGUUGGGUUAUUUUUAACACUCUUGUAGGAUUCCAUAGUGGGAUAUGAUUAUGCAUUAAAUUUUAAUGGUUGUUUUAAAAAUAAAAGCUGUCGAAUGCUAUCAUUUUCUAUUAGGUAAUACAGAGUGCCUCCAUUAGGAGUGUUUUUCUCCUUCCAAACAAAGCCUAGGCAGGCUCGAGCAACAGUCAUGAGCAAAAUAAUCCCAGCUUGGGGAAGAUAUUAAUAAAAUCCAGGCUGCAAAAUGUGCAGGAAGCUGCUCUAAUGUAUCCAUUUCCAAUUUCUGUUCACACAGGUGAACUCAAGAGCAAACCAAGGUUCACCACAUCCUAAUUGCAUUUGGGGGCACUGCUGAAAACUUCAACUUUGAGAUUUUCCUUAAGGAAUUCUCCUUGAUUCGUAUCUUCUUUUGUGAUCAAGGAAAAGUUUUCCUGCAAUUUGAAGAACCUGUAUACAUUUCAUGCCUUUUCUAAUCUAACCCCAUGUGGCACAGAUCAAAGGCCUUCAUGAAGUUCAGAGCAUGAAGCUCAGUAAUCUUGCAUCCUGAAUGAAUUAUCUGCCAGGAAGAGGUUUAAGUCUCAUGUGAAGGUAUCAUUGGCUUCUGUCAUCAUGUACGCUCCUUUGGCUGUAUGAUUAAUUGCUGUGAUUUCUGUAGGACUAACAUGGUCAUGUCUCAUUAGCUGUCUUUGGCCACCACACAUUCAUCAGUCAGGCAUCAUCAGAACACCUUUGGUUUUUAAGAUCGUACUAGGUUUUCACAGAUCAUGCCCAAUUUUUACUGUGUGUGUGCUUGUGAAUUCUGGUUGAAUUCAAGCCCCACUGGGCAAGGGGAGAAAUGUUCUCUGCAAGCUCAAGAGCUGAGCAGGCCAAGAUGAAGAAAGAUUGGGGAGAAUGUGGUCAGCUGCAAAUAUCAUGUGAGUGUUCCCAGUAUCUGGGGUCAUUAACUUUGGUUUGGCAGGAUUUCAGUAGGAGGAAAUUUGCUAGAGGAAGAUGAGAAGAUCACCAGACAAGGGUGCCACAUCACUGUGCUCAGGACAUGAUACGUCAGGAGCUGGACUUCUGCCCUGCAGGGCCUUCUCCAGUUUUGGCUGCAGAACACCUGAGCAGCCCCUUCCAGCUGUAUUUCUGGGCCAUGCACACGUGCCAUGGCCAUGCUGAAUGCACAACCCUCAGCAGCAUGGCAGGGGCUGUGUCCCAAAGGCACAGGGCUGGACACCACCUCCAUCUUCAUCCCAAGGGGAGAGGACAUCCCAUGGGAGAGGGACCAGUGCAGAGAGCUCCCAGCAGGGUUUUGCAGCAGCCAGCUUACAGUGGCGUGGCAAUGUGAAUGUCUGCAAGGUGCAGAGCUUUUUGUGCUGUGGAUUCUGUCUCCUUUUAUUUCUUGUGUAGGCAGUAUUCCUCCUGACUCCAUUUAUUUAUCUAGAUCCAUUGUGUGCUUACUAAUAGAGACAGCAUGUUCUGGUUUUUUUAGCUUGAGAAGUUGAGAAGGAAAUUCUCAUGAAAUAUGUUACCAGUCUAAAUUAUCCCAUGACUUGCCUACGUUUCAAAUUAACUGGUGGAAUAUCAACAAACAUAAUGGCAAUUCUUUUCCAAUCCCAUCUCCUCCAGUCAGUCUUUAGCCCACUUAUCAGACACUUGUUAUUACAAAAAUAAUCAGGAGAGGAAAAUACACCAGUGCUGAAUCAACACUACCAUACUUCUUUUUUUUUCCCCUCUUUUUGAACUCGUCCAACUUGCUUGGAUUCUGUUGGCCAUGCACCAGCCUGAAACUGGAGAAACACAGCUGGCUAAAUCCAUCACAUCUUAUUACAGGUUAUCAAUUCUCCCCUGCAAUAAACACAUUUGACAAUUAGCAGGGAAUUGAUGAGUGAGCCAGUUUGAUUGCUGCUAUUUCUUUACUCCUUAGUACCUGACAGAGAGGUUUACAAUGCAACCUUAAUUUGUAGAAAAAGCAAGAAGCUGGUAAAGCCAUUAGCGUUUCUUAUACCCAAAAUGACAAAUGGUCUUUACAUUAAUCUUGAAUCACUUCUUUAAAGCAAGGAUCAGGAAAGAAUUUUCCUCGAAAGGAUAUUGCUGCCCAGCUGGGGAGGUGCUCUAAUAGGGCUUUCUCACCUUCUGGGGGAUCGAUAGCAUGGGGCUGCCAGGCUGCAUUGCUGGGCUCCAUAAAGCCAUUGGUGUAAUUUGUUUUGAUGAACCUUCUGCUUCAAAUAAUAAUAAUAAUAAUAAUAAAAAUUGCAAACUCUGCAUAGACAGAAGACCAAACCACACCAUGACUCACAUCGUACAGUAAACCAUUUAGGAGCAAUACUGCAGUGAUUGAGAUUUAACUCAUUCCAUUCCAUAUCUCUCUGCAAUUAAUCCAAUAUUUGGCCAGCUGGCUUUUUUUGAAUUUCAGUUCUUCAUUUGGGAAAAGGAAAAAAUAAAUAAAUCAAAGCUCUGCCAAUGCCAAUCACUGUAGCAAAGCACCACAAUGGUCUGAAAAUAAGGACUGACAGGGACUUCGAGAAGGAACCUACUCUUCCCAUCUCUCUCAAGACCUCCCUGAUCCCCAGGAGCCUUUCUCUGUGGCUGGGCCUGACAUUAGCUCCCAACAGCUUUGAUCCCAUGAGGUUUAUUCAGACAGAGGCAUCAUCUUUUGUGUUUAAAAUGGGCAUGCAUCAGGAAAAACACAAGCUACCUUCAGUGUAGUCUCAGAAUACCAGACACCAGCUUUGAUCUCUUCAAUGUGCAGAUAAAAUGAGGCUGGUGAGAGAAUGAAAUCUCCUUCCUUUUCAUUUGCUAAGUACAUUAAUGUGUUCUUGAUCUCAAAAUGAUUCUCAUUUACUCACUGUAAUCACAGCGUUUUCGUUCUUCUCUUUGUUUGUAGGGCCUUUGCUGUUGGUUUUCUUUUGUAAUCAAGAGGUUUUUUUUCUGUUCUUGCAAGCUGAAUAUUUUCCUGCUAGCAAACUUGUCCUAACUGUGCUUUACAAGUGCAUUCUUUCCUUCAUCUCAUUUCCUCCCACCCAGAGCUGGGGCAGAGAUUUGCUCUGGCAGCAGAUAUGAAGGCUGCAGAUAAUGCCGAGGAAAGCAAAGACCACACGGAGUAGUGUUGGCCUGAGCAGCAGCAAGAAAGUGCCCCAUGCACAUCCAUUAGGGAGAGUUUUGUUUGGCAGACCUCCCAGCCUAAUAAUCAGUUUGGUUGUGGUUAGGGUUGGUUUUGUUUUGUUUUGUUUUUUUUUUUUUUGGUCUUUACUGCCUAUUUGGAAGAACAGCAGCAUUGGUGUUCUGGUGACUUGCUGAUCGUUAUACAGUUGAGGAAAUAGUUAAACAUAAUGAGAGGUCAGACUACAACUGCUCCACACCACCUCCAUGGCCAUAAGGGUUGUGCCCCAACACAAGACACAAGAUGCUGUAAGGUGUUUAUGGUGUUGCUGCUGGGGAGGAUGAGAAGUCCCUCCCUCUGUUAAUAAAGAACAAAUGCUGGAUACAGAGCAAUGUGCUGACUCUUCCUGAGACUUAGAGGUACAUCUCAAGCCAAACAUGAGAUGAUGAGCCUCAUGUUCUCGUGGUUAAUGAGUGUGUGCAGUCAUAGCCUAUGGUUGCUGCCCAUUAACUUUGCUCAGCACACAGUGAGAGAGAGGUUAGAAGCUGAAUACUUGGGUUUGCAUUUGGUCAUAGACGUAGAAAACACAACAAAAAGCAAAGUGGAGAUUUCCUACAGCUCAGCUGGUGCAUGGUAAGCUCGCUAAAUCUCAGUAACUUGACAUCUCUUCCUGGCAAUUGAAAUUCUGCUUUCCCUGUGCUGGCAGUGUUAAAGAGGAAAAUACAAUGGCACUUCGUGGUGCUUGUGAUGGUUCAUGGAAAAAUGUGCAUCCCAAUCAUAUGACCCAGGAGGUACAUAGGAUGUAACAGAGUGCGGUGGGUGAAAAGCAGAAGUUCCCAAAUUGAUCUGUGUUGGGAAAAUCGUCUGCAGGUUCCAAUAACUGUGUCAGCUGAAUCGCUUGGACUGCUUUCGUGUGCAGAACCGUGCAGGAAAUCCCAACAAAGCAGAAUUUCUCGUAAGACUCCUGGUGCAUCAGCCUGCAGACCGAGCCAGAAAGAAACCACAAAAAACAAUUGCUCUCCUUGCUGUGCAGCUACUACAAGUCCCAGGUGGAACCUGAAAAUGAAAUGUGUGCGUGCGUCAAAAGAUCGCCGGGCUUUCCAAAAUCCACUCUUUGAAUACAGUUGCAGAAACAAGCACAUGAUGUGGGUCAGAGGGUCACUCUGUGUUUUAUACAUUGUUCUCUCAUCAGCUCUGCUAGAACUGACCCAAUGACUCCAUUUAUGUAAGAAUACUAUUUGAAGUUUCUUAUACGUCGCAGAUUUGGGCACCCAAGAUGGUGCAUCACUUUGGAACAUCUUUAAGGAAACUUCAGAGCUGUUAUAUGCUUUACUGAACAAUGAACCCUAUUUCUUCUUUGUUGUUCUGGGAUGAAUAUCUGCUGAACCAGAAGUGUAGAAACAGUGAGAAGAAAUUGGCUCUAAAAGGUCUUUAAAGCUAACUUAUAUUCAAGGAUUCAUCAAGGACCUGGUUUGUCCUACUCCUACCUUUCAGAGGAGCGUAACGAGGAAGUUAGGAGGCUGGCAACGGUAAUACAAGAGAUCCAUGUCCAAGUCCAAAUAUUUCUGGUGCAUUCUGAAUGGCCAGUGUAUACCCAAGACUUGAUCUCUGUUACGGGGUUGCCUGCCUAUAAAACACAGCACUUUUUCCUUAGGGAUGACUUGUGUCUUUCGCAGUUUAUGAAGUAUCCAAGUCCUUUGUAAACAAGAUUUAAGGAAGUCUAACCAUUUUCACCUUGCAGCAGAGUUUCACGGAGAGCAAAAGUAAGAACUCAAACACCAGAGGAAAAGUUAACAAGAGAAGAGAGCAUUUGGGGUUCAUUAGGAAGACAUUGGAUGAGAAGUUGGGAAGCAGCAGAAAAAUGCUAUAGGGUAAAAAGGAAUUCUUUGUGCCAAGGAUCUUGUCUUGUUGUCUUCAUCUGUAAAAUAUCCAGAAAUCUGCUGGCACAACAUGAAACAAGACAGAGGCUGAAAGCAAUAAGACUGCGCUGAAAUUUAAGUCCUGUUAAAUUCAUUUUUUCCAGGGUUUGCAAGAGCUGUUUCCCUUCCACCUGCUGACCAAACAGGAUAGCAGUAAAAUACUUCCUCUUACUGACUCACAAAUCUGUCGGACGUGAUGAGGCCCAAUGGGAGUUUGGUGAUGUCUUAAAUAGUGAUUUGCUUUUUGCCUCUUGGCAAACAGCACUCCCGGACUGGUAACACAAGCUGUGCUUCCAGGCUAUGGUUCACAGGGCUAUCCAAACAGACUCAAAGAGGUCUUGGUCUCCUCUGUUGCAUGAAGAUAGGUCUUGUUAUUAUAGUUCUGUUUGCUCACAAGUGAGAUUGUGCAGGGAUUUUUCCAUUUCAGCGUACUGCAGAUGAGGGGAGCAGGACAGCAACUUCUGCAGAUGGUCCAGAGCUGACCUGAAGCUGUACAAACCCUUCUUCAGGGCCUUUCCCAAAGAGCAAACCAUGGGUUUGUGUGGCCCAGCACAGAUCGUUCUAAUCUGUCCUGCAGUUCUCUCUGUCCCUGCAGCUAUUGCAGUUUGGAGAGCAUUUCUCCUGCAGCUGAUGGCCAGAAAACCAGGAGGCAGCUCACUGGAGUAAAUCUCCAUUGAAGUUUUUUGGUUUUAUUUCCCUGCCAUAGAGGCAAGACAACAACGGAACAUUAAAGUGAGUUAUUAUAUGCUAUGGGUUUCGGAAACAUCCCUGUGCUUCCUUCCUAGGUCAUGUACAGCCCUGUGGUUUCUGCAGGCUCUGCUCCUGCUCGGAUGCCGGUAGCUUUCCAUUCCCACCGCCUGGAGCCGCUUCUCCAAAGUCUGACUAAACGUGUGUGUGUGUAAGGGGAAAUGAUUAACUCUGACCAUCUAUAGAAUGAAAUUCUUCCUACUUAAAGGUACUCCUGACAAAGCUGACUGGGAAGAAUUGCUAUGGUGGUUUCAAAUAGAGCAUGCUGCAUUUUUUCCAAAAACUUCUUUGAUAUUUUUUAUGAAGAGUAAAGAGUGGUUUCUGCAAAGGAAUAUCUGCCAUCUCGCUGCAAAUAAUCAUUGGAUUAUGGUUUUAAUUCUAAAAACAUACAUACCCACAGUUGCCCCACUGAAAAUAAAAUCCUUUUUAUCAAUUGAAUAUGCUGGACCUGAAAACAAGGUGACAGUCCUUAACAACAAGGCUCAGACCAUUAAGUUUUUGUUCUCUUUUGUCUCAAAAAAGGUAUUCAGGACUCGGACACUCAUGUAAAAUGUCCUCCCAGCUCUCCACCCCCACCGGAGAUUUUAAACAAAUGUUAAAGAAGGAAAGGAAUAGCAUAAGCAAAUUUCGAGGGACAGGAUGAAUUACAACCCAUCUGUAGUUUUUUUCCCACUCUGCUGACAAUCUACACUGAACUCUGUCUGCGUUGUUGUGCAGAAAUGUGCCGGUGGAUUCUUGCUGAAGUUAUCCAUAGUCAUCUGAGCAGCCCGUAGAGCACUGCUGUCACAGUGACUGCCUCCAAGGCCACAGCAAAGCAGCCCUGUGCCAGCGGGGACACAGUUGUAGCAAAAACUAAACCCCAGAUGCUGGCUUUUCCUUUUCCUGAGUCAUUGCUAUGCCCAUGCCAUCACCCUGCAGCUCUCUACAGGUGCCUGGGGAAUAUUCAGUGAAGGGCACAACACCAGUUGAACAAGAUGCUUUCCCAGUUUUGCCCCAUUGGAUGCACUGCAAGUCACCCCAGAGCCUUGAGUGAUGCCAUUCCGAGGCACAUGCAGAGCAAGUCCCUUUCUUCCUGUAAACAGAAAGAGAUGUUUUCAGUUUACAUGCUUCCAGUUUACAUUGCAUGGAAGGCUUAUGUAAGUAACAGGGGAAAAGAAAAAAACUUAAUGAAUUCAUAACAGCCCGGCUAGGCACGGCCUCCAGAGCUAAACCUGUCAGGAUCUGGCCCAAGGAGGAUGCUCACUGGGAGACCUGACAAGCAAGACUGCGGAACUACAAGGAUUUAUUGUACACCAAAAUAAUUCCUACGCUCACUGAGCAAAGCUGCUGCCACAGAGUAACUGCUUUUAAAAGUAUUUUCCAUCAUGAUCUCCAAGUUCCUUUUCUUGCCCAGAUUCCAUCACAACAAACAGCCCAAGGAUUUAUAUGCCUCUCGCUUACCUUGUGAUGACAGCCUGACACACGGGUUGCACAGAGGGAGGAGACGAAGGGUUCAGCUCUCCUGUGCCCAAGCCAGGCUGAGGGCUGAGGGCAGAGGUCCUGGAAUGGGGCUUGCUGCUGUCCUGGGUCUGCUGGCUCUGCUCUAAGAGCAGAGAAAGGUGACAAAUAUCAACACCAAACUACCUAGAUCUUUUUCAAGCACAAUAGGAAGCACUUGAAGAAGUGUCACAUCACUCACUUGUAGCAAAUGGUAAACUUACGCACUUUAGAAAGAGAAGAUGUAGGGUAAUGAUGGGGACGUUUGAGGUCCUCAUUCUGUUUUCAUGUGCAUAUGCCCAAAACAGACAAAAUAUCAUCUCCAGAUAAAAGAGAGAUUUGUUGUCUCAGCAGUUCCUGAUCUGCUGCUCAGUGGUAGAAGCAGCUUAGCCAAAACCAUCACCAUCUUGCUGAUGUGCAUACUUACAGACAAAGAGAGAAUUCAUCUUACACAGCUCCAAGGUGUUCAAGUGUUGGCUGAUGAAUCCUGGGCUUGUGCAUGGCCUUCCUUUAUUUUUUUGUGAAGAACAACAGGCACCUCCAGAAUUUCCUUCUGACCAACAGUACACAAGGAUGAGACCAAACUGCACCUUCAACUCGAUGACUGUUUUGGUUCCCUUCCAACUCGGGAUGUUCUAUGAUUCCAAUGGGCUGCAAAGGGCUGCUGGGUAAUGAGCCAGACUGUGUCAGCACCGUAUCUACAGGAGUACAGUAAUAAUGCAAGAAAAUUGUAUUAAUUGUAUUGUCAUAGCAAUCGAAAUUCCCAAAUAGCAUCUCUGUGCCACAGCCCAUCCAUGUAUCUCCUCCUGCUGAUAAAGACAGCAUGGAAAUGAGAGGAGGGACUAUCAAGAAAGGUGUCUGUGAUAAGCAGCACUCAAAAAUUGCAAAUGCAAUAGAAAGAGAAAGACGUGGCUGUACUAAAGAUCAGGGGAUAAAUGACAGUGGGUGUAGUGAGUGCUGAAGACUGUGGAAGAUACAAAGGCACAAAAAGAAAAGCAGAGAGCCUGCCUCGUGCUGGGAUCUCAGCUCACCCCACUGCACGGAGGAGCAGGUGCAGAGGAAGAUGUGGGGCAAACAGGGUGGAGGAGGAGAAUCAGAAAUAGCUUUGUUUAGGCUCGGAAAAGGAGGGAAAGGCUUGGAAAAGGAUUGCUUUCUAUAAAUAGCCGACGUAACCCCUCAGGGAAGGGAGAUAGUUAUUUAAGCUGAAGGACAAUGUUGGCCUGGAAUCAAACUGGUUGUGAGUAAAUAGAGGGGGGAAACAUGAAGCAGGUUUCUGAGCAUCACAGGAAAGAUGUUCUGAAACAACUUUCCAGGCGCAGCAGGAACCUGAGCGCUUCUAAAUCCGCUGGAGCAGGAAAUGGAUCUCCGUGCCAAGAUAUCUUUGCCAAUGGCAAAUUUUACCCUGCCUCAGAAAAUCAGACUGGAUGAAAUCCUGAGAGAUAGCUGAUAGCUUGAUAGCUUGACCGAAGACAGGUCUGCUCCUUCUGAUGGGAAGAGGGCUGUGCCCUGUAAAUAGCCACAUGUGACAUCCGAUGGCUUCUUUGUCCUUCGCUGUCCCAGUUAUUGCAGCAUUUUGUUGUUAGGACAGGCAUUUUUCCCCUUUAUCUUCCCUCUAUGUCCCUUUCCAUUGCUGGGCUGCUGGCAGCUGAUGGACCACUGUGGGACGGGUGGGAUGCUGGGGCCUGGGAAACAAAUGCCUGGAGAAACCUUGGUCAACAAAGUCUAUGGAAACAAAACAAAAACAAGACCAGUAACACUGUUUUGAACGUUGCUGUUUAGUAAACGUGGAAACUGAGGAAACUGGGCUCUACGUUCCUUUCCUUUGAUUAGCCUUUUUUUACAGGACUG
ensembl:lncRNA